UGCUUUUCGAUGAUGAGGAGAGUAGAUGUCAGGAUCUGUCAAAGCGAGCCGGGGAUGGUGGAAGUCCGGCACAAGCCUGAGAUUGAAACGCACCUCUGAGAAUUUUGUUGAAUCUUAUUAAGCGUAGACAAAACGGAAUCCCACCGUUAUCAGGGAGUAGAGUGGGUACAGGAUAUGUACCAAUAAGAGUGGUAACACGGGAAUUGACUCUCGUCUCUUGC
rnacentral:ncRNA from 1 species